GAUGAACGCUGGCGGCGUGCCUAAUACAUGCAAGUCGAGCGAACGGACGAGAAGCUUGCUUCUCUGAUGUUAGCGGCGGACGGGUGAGUAACACGUGGAUAACCUACCUAUAAGACUGGGAUAACUUCGGGAAACCGGAGCUAAUACCGGAUAAUAUUUUGAACCGCAUGGUUCAAAAGUGAAAGACGGUCUUGCUGUCACUUAUAGAUGGAUCCGCGCUGCAUUAGCUAGUUGGUAAGGUAACGGCUUACCAAGGCAACGAUGCAUAGCCGACGUGGGAGGGUGAUCGGCCACACUGGAACUGAGACACGGUCCAGACUCCUACGGGAGGCAGCGGUAGGGAAUCUUACGCAAUGGGCGAAAGCCUGACGGAGCAACGGCGAGUGAGUGAUGAAGGUCAUCGGAUCGUAAAACUCUGUUAUUAGGGAAGAACAUAUGUGUAAGUAACUGUGCACAUCGUGACGGUACCUAAUCAGAAAGCCACGGCUAACUACGUG
rnacentral:rRNA from 1 species